rnacentral:rRNA from 1 species
GACGAACGCUGGCGGCGUGCUUAACACAUGCAAGUCGAACGGAAAGGCCCUGCUUGUCGGGUACUCGAGUGGCGAACGGGUGAGUAACACGUGGGUGAUCUGCCCUGCACUUCGGGAUAAGCCUGGGAAACUGGGUCUAAUACCGGAUAGGAGCCAUUUUUAGUGUGAUGGUUGGAAAGUUUUUUCGGUGUAGGAUGAGCUCGCGGCCUAUCAGCUUGUUGGUGGGGUAAUGGCCUACCAAGGCGGCGGCGGGUGGCCGGCCUGGGAGGGUGGACGGCCACAGUUGGACUGGGAUACGGCCCAGACUCCGACGGGAAGGAGCAGUGGGGGAUAUUGCACAAUGGGCGCGAGGCUGAUGCAGCGACGGCGCGUGGGGGAUGACGGACUUCGGGUUGGAAACUCAUUUCGCUAGGGACGAAGCUGUUUGUGACGGUACCUGGAUAAGAAGCACCGGCUAACUACGUG